GCCGAUGUAGCUCAGUUGGCUAGAGCAGCUGAUUUGUAAUCAGCAGGUCGGGGGUUCGAGUCCCUUCAUCGGCU
rnacentral:tRNA from 1 species